rnacentral:rRNA from 1 species
CCUACGGGAGGCAGCAGUGGGGAAUAUUGCACAAUGGGGGAAACCCUGAUGCAGCGACGCCGCGUGAGUGAAGAAGUAUUUCGGUAUGUAAAGCUCUAUCAGCAGGGAAGAAAAUGACGGUACCUGACUAAGAAGCCCCCGCUAACUACGUGCCAGCAGCCGCGGUAAUACGUAGGGGGCAAGCGUUAUCCGGCCUUACUGGGUGGAAAGGGAGCGUAGGUGGCAUGGUAAGCCAGAAGUGAAAACCCGGGGGUCAACCCCGCGGAUUGCUUUUGGAACUAUCAGGCUGGAGUGCUGGAGGGGUAAGCGGAAUUCCUAGUGUAGCGGUGAAAUGCGUAGAUAUUAGGAGGAACACCAGUGGCGAAGGCGGCUUACUGGACAGAAACUGACACUGAGGCUCGAAAGCGUGGGGAGCAAACAGGAUUAGAUACCCCGGUAGUC